rnacentral:rRNA from 1 species
UACGUAGGUUGCGAGCGUUAAUCGGAAUUACUGGGCGUAAAGCGUGCGCAGGCGGUUUUGUAAGCCAGAUGUGAAAUCCCCGGGCUCAACCUGGGAAUGACAUUUGGGACUGCAAGGCUGGAGUGCGGCAGAGGAGACUGGAAUUCCCGGUGUAGCAGUGAAAUGCGUAGAUAUCGGGAGGAAUACCGAUGGCGAAGGCAGGUCUCUGGGCUGACACUGACGCUCAUGCACGAAAGCGUGGGGAGCAAACAGG